AAACCAGAUGCUCCACAGGGCGCAGCUUUAUACAACUGCAGAGGUCGAACCCUGAACAGUUGGAGCAAGUGUGGACACAACAUUCCAGCUUGAUACAGCUCUGAAUUUGGAUUGUGAUUAAAUAGUUGACACAGCAAAGGUUUCUGACACAGAAUGAAUGUGGUCUAAUGAACUUAACAUUUUUUUCUUGCUUUUGAGCAAUACACUAUGCUGUAGAAUAUUCAUCCCCUCAAAAAAACAUUUGAAGAAAAAUUCUUU
rnacentral:lncRNA from 1 species